rnacentral:rRNA from 1 species
GACGAACGCUGGCGGCGUGCUUAACACAUGCAAGUCGAACGGAAAGGCCCUGCUUUUGUGGGGUGCUCGAGUGGCGAACGGGUGAGUAACACGUGAGUAACCUGCCCUUGACUUUGGGAUAACUUCAGGAAACUGGGGCUAAUACCGGAUAGGAGCGCCUGCUGCAUGGUGGGGGUUGGAAAGUUUCGGCGGUUGGGGAUGGACUCGCGGAUUAUCAGCUUGUUGGUGGGGUAGUGGCUUACCAAGGCUUUGACGGGUAGCCGGCCUGGGAGGGUGACCGGGGACAUUGGGACUGCGAUACGGCCCAGUCUCGUACGGGAGGCAGCAGUGGGAAAUAUUACACAAUGGGCGGAAGCGUGAUGCAGCAACGCCGCGAGCGGGAUGACGGCCUUCGGGUUGUAAACCGCUUUAGCCUGUGACGAAGCGUGAGUGACGGUAAUGGGUAAAGAAGCACCGGCUAACUACGUG